rnacentral:sRNA from 3 species
UGCAUCUGGAGCCAGCGAGGAUGAGAGCCUCCGGGGGCAAGAGGUUCGACUCGAGCGAAGCGAGAGAACGUUGCGCGAGCAACGGCCCGCAGGGUGUGCCAUCCUCUAAUUGCUGACAUAUUCCAUUACUUUUGCCG